GACGUAGGGCGCGAGCGUUGUCCGGAUUUAUUGGGCGUAAAGAGCUCGUAGGCGGCUUGUCGCGUCGACCGUGAAAACUCGCAGCUCAACUGCGAGCCUGCGGUCGAUACGGGCAGGCUAGAGUUCGGUAGGGGAGACUGGAAUUCCUGGUGUAGCGGUGAAAUGCGCAGAUAUCAGGAGGAACACCGAUGGCGAAGGCAGCUCGCUGGGACGGUACUGACGCUGAGACGCGAAAGCGUGGGGAGCGAACAGG
rnacentral:rRNA from 1 species